GAUGAACGCUGGCGGCGUGCCUAAUACAUGCAAGUCGAGCGAACAGACGAGGAGCUUGCUCCUCUGACGUUAGCGGCGGACGGGUGAGUAACACGUGGAUAACGUACCUAUAAGACUGGGAUAACUUCGGGAAACCGGAGAUAAUACCGGAUAAUAUAUUGAACCGCAUGGGUCAAUAGUGAAAGACGGUUUUGCUGUCACUUAUAGAUGGAUCCGCGCCGCAUUAGCUAGUUGGUAAGGUAACGGGUUACCAAGGCAACGAUGCGUAUCCGACCUGAGAGGGUGAUCGGCCACCCUGGAACUGGGCCACGGUCCAGACUCCUACGGGAGGCAGCAGUAGCGAAUCUUCCGCAAUGGGCGAAAGCCUGACGGAGCAACGCCGCGUGAGUGAUGAAGGUCUCCCGAUCGUAAAGCUCUGUUAUUAGGGAAGAACAAAUGUGUAAGUAACUAUGCACGUCUUGACGGUACCUAAUCAGAAAGCCCCGGCUAACUACGUG
rnacentral:rRNA from 1 species